rnacentral:rRNA from 1 species
UACGUAGGCAGCAAGCGUUGUUCGGAGUUACUGGGCGUAAAGGGUGUGUAGGCGGUCCUCUAAGUUUGGUGUGAAAUCUCCCGGCUCAACCGGGAGGGUGCGCCGAAAACUGAAGGGCUAGAGUGCGGGAGAGGAGAGUGGAAUUCCUGGUGUAGCGGUGAAAUGCGUAGAUAUCAGGAGGAACACCGGUGGUGUAGACGGCUCUCUGGACCGUAACUGACGCUGAAACACGAAAGCGUGGGUAGCAAACAGG